rnacentral:rRNA from 1 species
GACGAACGCUGGCGGCAUGCCUAACACAUGCAAGUCGAACGGGACGUUCCUGCCUAGGGGCGCUGGGGUGCGUAACACCGGGGAACCUACCCUUAGGUUCGCAAUAACUCCCCUUAAGGUGUCCUAAUAACAGUUAAUGUCUUCGGACCAAAGAUUUCUCGCCGUUGGGUGGGCGCGCGUUGGAUUAGCUGGUUGGUAGGGUAAAAGCCUACCAUGGCGUCGUUGCUUGGCUGGUCUGAUAGGAUGAUCAACCACAAUGGGAAUGAGGCACGGCCCAGACUCCUACGGGAGGCAGCAGUAGAGAGUAUUAGGCGCUGGGCGAUAGCGUGAUACAGCAAUGCCGCGUAAGUGAUGAAGGCCUUAGGAUUGUAAAGCUCUUUUAGACGAGAUGAGAAUGACAGUAACGGGUGAAGAAGCACCGGCUAACUCCGUG